rnacentral:rRNA from 1 species
AGCCAGACUCCUACGGGAGGCAGCAGUGAGGAAUAUUGGUCAAUGGGCGGAAGCCUGAACCAGCCAAGUCGCGUGAGGGAAGAAGGCCCUGCGGGUCGCAGACCUCUUUGGACGGGGAGCAAGGCCGCCGACGUGUCGGCGGAAGGAGAGUACCCGUAGAACAAGCAUCGGCUAACUCCGUGCCAGCAGCCGCGGUAAUACGGAGGAUGCGAGCGUUAUCCGGAUUUAUUGGGUUUAAAGGGUGCGCAGGCGGCACGGCAAGCCGGCGGUCAAAUCGCGGGGCUCAACCCCGCCCAGCCGUCGGAACUGCCGGGCUAGAGUGGGCGAGAAGUAUGCGGAAUGCGUGGUGUAGCGGUGAAAUGCAUAGAUAUCACGCAGAACUCCGAUUGCGAAGGCAGCAUACCGGCGCCCGACUGACGCUGAGGCACGAAAGCGUGGGUAGCAAACAGGAUUAGAUACCCCAGUAA